CUACAUCUCCUACUACGCCUAUCAGUGGUUCUCCAGUGCAGUACUGCACCACGCUAGAGCCUGGGUCUGUAAAAGUGCUGGAGACUGCUGUAGUGCAGCAAAAUGGAGGAGAUAAUAUCAAUUAGCAUAAGACAGCAGGACUGCCAACUAUCACCACUCAAUAGGUGCUAACUUCUUAGGCAAGUUAUAUGUCUUCAUUUUCCAAGUUUCGGUACUGUGCAAGGUGCUUAACUGUCACUAGCCAUAACUGACAGGUUUUGAUUGCUGCCCCUUGCUGCCUUUCAGCUGGGCUGAGUGUCUUCAGUCAACCAGCUUGGAUUAUAAAUGACCAGUGGAAACGAUGAAGCUCCAUUCUUGCAAGUUAUUCUCAAACUUGUUUUUGAAGGAAGAAUGGAAAUCUGCUUUUUAUUUAAAAGCCCUUCUCGACAAGGCUGCCUGUCCAGCAGGUGGGGGAAUUACAUCCUAAACCUGAAGAGAGACUGAACCAGAAAGAUGUGGGCUGUCUUGGAGAGUGGGCACUCUGCCUCUUUUGUUUGGAAGCUGCGCCAGCCUGCAGGGUGGAAAAAAAUGCAUUGUUCAGUAAACCCAAGUGUGAUCGUCAGAAGGGAUCAUUCAGCAAGAGGAAGACAGGCUCCAUAUAACAUGACUGGGCACGCAGAAUCACUCUGCCAAAAGAAGCUAUUCUGCCUCCAAAAAUAUGAAUAAAUAAAAGAAAAAGAAAAAGGAUAAUCACUGUGUCCUAAGAUUCUUUCUAUCCUGGAUAGCUUUAGCCUGUUCCUUAUAAUGAAUGGUUGAC
rnacentral:lncRNA from 1 species